GGAUGUGAGGGCGAUCUAGCUGCGACAUCUGUCACCCCAUUGAUCGCCAGGGUUGAUUCGGCUGAUCUGGCUGGCUAGGCGGGUGUCCCCUUCCUCCCUCACCGCUCCAUGUGCGUCCCUCCCGAAGCUGCACGCUCGGUGGAAGAGGAUGACGUCCCAGGUAUAGAAGGAGUGUACCGAGGUCUCCAGUCUUCAGUCCCGGGUAUACGAUAGCUGCGCUCCCCUGCUAGAACCUCCAAACAAGCUCAUUCCGUAAUAUAUUGUCCUAAGCUAUCUUAUAAUAGUCCCGGGUGGAGUUAACCCUUUAUUCACCUUGUUUUUAGUAAACUCAUUUUGGU
rnacentral:snRNA from 1 species